rnacentral:rRNA from 1 species
GUGACGGCGCGAGCAGGUGCGAAAGCAGGUCAUAGUGAUCCGGUGGUUCUGAAUGGAAGGGCCAUCGCUCAACGGAUAAAAGGUACUCCGGGGAUAACAGGCUGAUACCGCCCAAGAGUUCAUAUCGACGGCGGUGUUUGGCACCUCGAUGUCGGCUCAUCACAUCCUGGGGCUGAAGUAGGUCCCAAGGGUAUGGCUGUUCGCCAUUUAAAGUGGUACGCGAGCUGGGUUUAGAACGUCGUGAGACAGUUCGGUCCCUAUCUGCCGUGGGCGCUGGAGAACUGAGGGGGGCUGCUCCUAGUACGAGAGGACCGGAGUGGACGCAUCACUGGUGUUCGGGUUGUCAUGCCAAUGGCACUGCCCGGUAGCUAAAUGCGGAAGAGAUAAGUGCUGAAAGCAUCUAAGCACGAAACUUGCCCCGA